GGCUCGGUAGCGAACGGUUCGUAUCCCCACAGGCUGAAGGCUUGAGAGCUAUGUCAUGGUCCGGGGAAGUUGCCUGUUCGAUUCAGGCCCGAGUCA